CCUACGGGAGGCAGCAGUGAGGAAUAUUGGUCAAUGGACGAGAGUCUGAACCAGCCAAGUAGCGUGAAGGAUGACUGCCCUAUGGGUUGUAAACUUCUUUUAUAAAGGAAUAAAACGAGGCACGUAUGCCUUUUUGCAUGUACUUUAUGAGUAAGGAUCGGCUAACUCCGUGCCAGCAGCCGCGGUAAUACGGAGGAUCCGAGCGUUAUCCGGAUUUAUUGGGUUUAAAGGGAGCGUAGAUGGGUUGUUAAGUCAGUUGUGAAAGUGUGCGGCUCAACCGUAAAAUUGCAAUUGAUACUGGCAGUCUUGAGUACAGUUGAGGUAGGCGGAAUUCGUGGUGUAGCGGUGAAAUGCUUAGAUAUCACGAAGAACCCCGAUUGCGAAGGCAGCUUACUAAACUGUGACUGACAUUGAUGCUCGAAAGCGUGGGUAGCAAACAGGAUUAGAUACCCUAGUAGUC
rnacentral:rRNA from 1 species